rnacentral:rRNA from 1 species
AGGGAAUCUUCCACAAUGGACGCAAGUCUGAUGGAGCAACGCCGCGUGAGUGAAGAAGGUUUUCGGAUCGUAAAGCUCUGUUGUUGGUGAAGAAGGAUAGAGGUAGUAACUGGCCUUUAUUUGACGGUAAUCAACCAGAAAGUCACGGCUAACUACGUGCCAGCAGCCGCGGUAAUACGUAGGUGGCAAGCGUUGUCCGGAUUUAUUGGGCGUAAAGCGAGCGCAGGCGGAAGAAUAAGUCUGAUGUGAAAGCCCUCGGCUUAACCGAGGAACUGCAUCGGAAACUGUUUUUCUUGAGUGCAGAAGAGGAGAGUGGAACUCCAUGUGUAGCGGUGGAAUGCGUAGAUAUAUGGAAGAACACCAGUGGCGAAGGCGGCUCUCUGGUCUGCAACUGACGCUGAGGCUCGAAAGCAUGGGUAGCGAACAGGAUUAGAUACCCUGGUAGUCCAUGCCGUAAACGAUGAGUGCUAAGUGUUGGGAGGUUUCCGCCUCUCAGUGCUGCAGCUAACGCAUUAAGCACUCCGCCUGGGGAGUACGACCGCAAGGUUGAAACUCAAAGGAAUUGACGGGGGCCCGCACAAGCGGUGGAGCAUGUGGUUUAAUUCGAAGCAACGCGAAGAACCUUACCAGGUCUUGACAUCUAGUGCCAUUUGUAGAGAUACAAAGUUCCCUUCGGGGACGCUAAGACAGGUGGUGCAUGGCUGUCGUCAGCUCGUGUCGUGAGAUGUUGGGUUAAGUCCCGCAACGAGCGCAACCCUUGUUAUUAGUUGCCAGCAUUAAGUUGGGCACUCUAAUGAGACUGCCGGUGACAAACCGGAGGAAGGUGGGGAUGACGUCAAGUCAUCAUGCCCCUUAUGACCUGGGCUACACACGUGCUACAAUGGACGGUACAACGAGAAGCGACCCUGUGAAGGCAAGCGGAUCUCUGAAAGCCGUUCUCAGUUCGGAUUGCAGGCUGCAACUCGCCUGCAUGAAGCUGGAAUCGCUAGUAAUCGCAAAUCAGCACGUUGCGGUGAAUACGUUCCCGGGCCU